rnacentral:rRNA from 1 species
CCUACGGGUGGCAGCAGUGGGGAAUCUUUCACAAUGGGGGAAACCCUGAUGCAGCGACGCCGCGUGCGUGAAGAAGGAUUUCGGUAUGUAAAGCUCUAUCAUCAGGGAAGAAAAUGACGGUAACUGAUUAAGAAGCCCCGGCUAACUACGUGCCAGCAGCCGCGGUAAUACGUAGGGGGCAAGCGUUAUCCGGAGUUACUGGGUGUAAAGUGAGCGUAGACGGGAGCACAAGUCAGGGGUGAAAUGCCGGGGCUUAACCCCGGAACUGCUUUCGAAACUGUGCAGCUAGAGUGCGGGAGAGGUAAGUGGAAUUCCUAGUGUAGCGGUGAAAUGCGUAGAUAUUAGGAGGAACACCAGUGGCGAAGGCGGCUUACUGGACUGUGACUGACGUUGAGGCUCGAAAGCGUGGGGAGCAAACAGGAUUAGAUACCCUGGUAGUC